rnacentral:tRNA from 1 species
ACGGCUUGAUUUCAUCCCAAGAGCACCGGACUCCUAACCCGGAGGUUGCGGGUUCGAAUCCCGUCGGGCGUA